GACGAACGCUGGCGGCGUGCUUAACACAUGCAAGUCGAACGGAGAAGCGACAUCCUUUUUGGUGGGAGGGGAGGGGCGGAGAACGGGGGAGUAACACGAGAGUAAACUGAUCACUCCUGCUGAAUAACGGGAAGAAAGAGUUGCUAAUACGGGAUAUUCUGGGUCUGUCGGAUGAUGAGUCAAGGAAAGAUUUUGUUUCGGUGGGGGAUGGGCUCGCGGCCUAUCAGCUUGUUGGUGGGGUGAUGGGCUACCAAGGCGGUGACGUGUAGCCGGCCUGAGAGGGUGGACGGUCACAGAGGGGCUGCGCCACCCCCCCGCCUCCGACGGGCGGCAGCAGGGGAGAUUCUUGCACAAUCGGCGCCAUGCUGAUGCAGCGACGCCGCGUGAGGGAUGGUGUCCUUCGCGUUGUGCUCCUCUUUCGCGAGUGAAGCAGUCCUGCCUCGUUUGUGGGUGGGUUGACGGUAGCUGGAUAAGAAGCGCCGGCUAACUACGUG
rnacentral:rRNA from 1 species